rnacentral:rRNA from 1 species
AUGGAGGACCGAACCGACCCCCGUUGAAAAGUUGGCGGAUGACUUGUGGAUAGCGGAGAAAUUCCAAUCGAACCCGGAUAUAGCUGGUUCUCCCCGAAAUAGCUUUAGGGCUAGCCUCGAAUAUAUUUACCGGAGGUAAAGCACUGAAUGGUCGAGGGGUCGAGAGACUACCAACACCUAUCAAACUAAGAAUACCGGAUAAAUGAGUUCGGGAGUCAGACUACGUGAGAUAAGUCUCGUGGUCAAAAGGGAAACAGCCCAGACCCACAGCUAAGGUCCCCAAUGUAUGCUAAGUGGAAAACGAUGUGACAAUGCUAAGACAACUAGGAUGUUGGCUUAGAAGCAGCCACUCAUUCAAAGAGUGCGUAAUAGCUCACUAGUCGAGUGAUGUUGCGCGGAAAAUUCAACGGGGCUAAGCAUACAACCGAAGCUUGGGCAGUAGAAAUACUGGGUAGGGGAGCGUUCUGUACGGGCAGAAGCAUCAGCGGAAGCAGAUGUGGACUGUACAGAAGUGAGAAUGCCGGAAUGAGUAGCGAGAAUUGUGUGAGAAUCAUAAUGGCCGAAAAUCUAAGGUUUCCGGGGGUAGGGUCGUCCACCCCGGGUUAGCCGGGAGCUAAGGCGAGGCCGCGAGGCGUAGUCGAUGCACAAACGGUAGAGAUUCCGUUGCCGCCAGAUCUUAAGUAACUGACACGAGGGUAGAGUUCAACCCGGCCGAUGGUAGAGCCGGGCGAAAGGGACUGAAGAAUAGUAGGGAAGUGAACGAAGCCAGCGGCGAGAAAAGGUUAUGUAUGAAAUCAGGCGCCCGUACCGCAAACCGACACAGGUAGAUGAGGAGAGGAUCCUAAGGCCAGCGGGAGAAGGGUUGUUAAGGAACUCGGCAUAUUGACCCCGUAACUUCGGAAGAAGGGGUGCCUCCGUAAGGAGGCCGCAGUGAAAAGGCCCAGGCAACUGUUUAUCAAAAACACAGGUUUCUGCAAAAGCGAAAGCUGAAGUAUAGGAGCUGACGCCUGCCCGGUGCUGGAAGGUCAAGGGGAUCGCUUAGCGCAAGCGAAGGCGAGAACUUAAGCCCCAGUAAACGGCGGCCGUAACUAUAACGGUCCUAAGGUAGCGAAAUUCCUUGCCAGGUAAGUUCUGGCCUGCACGAAUGGCGUAAUGAUCUGGGCACUGUCUCAACAGCCCGCCCGGCGAAAUUGUAGUACCGGUGAAGAUGCCGGUUUCCUGCGACUAGACGGAAAGACCCCAUGGAGCUUUACUGUAGUCUGAUACUGAAAUUUGGUUCAUUAUGCACAGGAUAGGUGGGAGACAGAGAAACCCGGGCUUUGGCUUGGGCGGAGUCGCCGUUGGGAUACCACUCUUGAUGAACCAAGUUUCUAACCUGCUCCCGUGAUCCGGGAGGGGGACAAUGUCAGAUGGGCAGUUUGACUGGGGCGGUCGCCUCCAAAAGAGUAACGGAGGCGUUCAAAGGUUGGCUCAGCGCGGACGGAAAUCGCGCAAUGAGUAUAAACGUAUAAGCCAGCCUAACUGUGAGACCUACAAGUCGAGCAGUAACGAAAGUUGGAGUUAGUGAUCAGGUGGUAGUGAGUGGAAAUGCCAUCGCUUAACGGAUAAAAGCUACCCUGGGGAUAACAGGCUGAUCUCCCCCAAGAGUUCACAUCGACGGGGAGGUUUGGCACCUC